rnacentral:rRNA from 1 species
CAUGAGCCGGGAAAGAAAAAACCGGUACAAGCGGGGUAGGAGUAAGGACAGCAAAUCUUCCUUACAAUCCGAAGACGUGAUGUGGACCGAACCAAAGUAGGGAAGCAUGUGAGCCAUGUGCCAAGAAAAGCCGCUAUAGUGAUACACAUACCCGUACCGUAAACCGACACAGGUGGAUGAGGAGAGAAUCCUAAGGCCGACGGAAGAAGCAUUGUUAAGGAACUCGGCAAAAUGACCCCGUAACUUCGGGAGAAGGGGUGCCCUGUGAAAGCAGGGCCGCAGAGAAUAGGCUCAAGCAACUGUUUAGCAAAAACACAGGUCUAUGCGAAACCGAAAGGUGAGGUAUAUGGGCUGACGCCUGCCCGAUGCUGGAAGGUUAAGAGGAGAAGUCAGGCAACGAAGCUUCGAAUUUAAGCCCCAGUAAACGGCGGCCGUAACGAUAACGGUCCUAAGGUAGCGAAAUUCCUUGUCGGGUAAGUUCCGACCCGCACGAAAGGCGUAAUGAUUUGAGCACUGUCUCGACAAUGCAUCCGGUGAAAUUGAAGUACCAGUGAAGAUGCUGGUUACCUGCGCCAGGACGGAAAGACCCCAUGGAGCUUUACUCCAGCUUGAUACUGGGAUUCGAUACUGUAUGUACAGGAUAGGUGGGAGACGUUGAGCAUAGAACGCCAGUUUUAUGUGAGUCGCUGUUGGGAUACCUCCCUUGCAGUAUUGGAUUUCUAACCUGCACCCAUGACCUGGGUGGGGGACAAUGUCUGGCGGGGAGUUUGACUGGGGCGGUCGCCUCCGAAAGGGUAUCGGAGGCGCUCAAAGGUUCCCUCAGAAUGGUUGGAAACCAUUCGAAGAGUGCAAAGGCAGAAGGGAGCUUGACUGUGACACCGACGGGUGGAACAGGUACGAAAGUAGGACUUAGUGAUCCGGUGGUAUAAAGUGGGAUUGCCAUCGCUCAACGGAUAAAAGCUACCCUGGAUAACAGGCUUAUCACUCCCAAGAGUUCACAUCGACGGAGUGGUUUGGCACCUCGAUGUCGGCUCAUCGCAUCCUGGGGCUGUAGCAGGUCCCAAGGGUUGGGCUGUUCGCCCAUUAAAGCGGUACGCGAGCUGGGUUCAGAACGUCGUGAGACAGUUCGGUCCCUAUCCGGCGCAGGCGGAGGAUAUUUGAGAGGAGCUGUCCUUAGUACGAGAGGACCGGGAUGGACGGACCACUGGUGUAUCUAUUGGCUAUCAGAGCCAUGGCAGAGUAGCCAAGUCCGGCAGGGAUAAACGCUGAAGGCAUCUAGGCGUGAAGCCCCCCUCAAGAUGAGAUAUCCCUCAGAAAUGAGUAAGACCCCUUGAAGACUACGAGGUAGAUAGGAAUGAGGUGUAAGCACAGCAAUGUGUUCAGCUGACAUUUACUAAUCGGUCGAGGGCUUGA